AACGAACGCUGGCGGCAGGCUUAACACAUGCAAGUCGAACGCCCCGCAAGGGGAGUGGCAGACGGGUGAGUAACGCGUGGGAAUCUACCCAGAUCUUCGGAACAACUGAGGGAAACUUCAGCUAAUACCGGAUACGCCCUACGGGGGAAAGAUUUAUCGGAUCUGGAUGAGCCCGCGUUGGAUUUGCUAGUUGGUGGGGUAAUGGCCUACCAAGGCGACGAUCAAUAGCUGGUCUGAGAGGAUGAUCAGCCACACUGGGACUGAGACACGGCCCAGACUCCUACGGGAGGCAGCAGUGGGGAAUAUUGGACAAUGGGCGAAAGCCUGAUCCAGCCAUGCCGCGUGAGUGAUGAAGGCCUUAGGGUUGUAAAGCUCUUUCAGUAGGGAAGAUAAUGACGGUACCUACAGAAGAAGCCCCGGCUAACUUCGUGCCAGCCGCCGCCGUAA
rnacentral:rRNA from 1 species